CUUUCCACAUGAGAAGAAGCUGGAAAACGAAGCUUCUCUGUGAGAGAGUUUCUUAUGAUAUAGGAGUCCUGUGUUGGCAGAAGGAAUAAAUAAGGAUUCAGCCUCAUACCUCAAAGCAACAGUCAGCAGGGUGCUCGCUGCUCUCCGUUCGAUUACGGGCAGGGACCCCCAACUCCCCAGGCUUCGCUGGCUCAUGGUUACACCGCCAUACCAAGAAUCGCCACAGGCUGCAAGAAAUAUCUUUCUUCGGUAUCUAAUUCCCAGGAUGCUCAGGAUUAAUCCCUGCACGUGUGCCACUCUGCUCUGGAUUUGCAUGGAUCUCGCUUCGCGGCCCUGGAAAGAAUCCGUCUGCACUGGAACACAAGCAACGGAGCCCAGCAUCUGCAUGCCACAGAAGCUGUUUGCAAUCAGGCAGGACACGAACCAGAAGCUCGUUUCGGAUUCCGGCAGCGAAUCUGCUUGUCAAAAUUUGACAAAGGGCUCCGGCUUGGCUGUCAAGUUGUAAGUUGGCCAACUUGACAUAAAUCAUGAGCCUUUCCCGUGCCCCCGGCUAACGCGAACAACGCACCCGCCCAGGGUCAUGGAAGGCCCUGUGGAAAAUGAGGAUGCGACUCUGGAAAACCGUCAUCUCGACAAAAAAAAAAAACAUGCGCGAGAACAAAACAGGCGUGUGCGUUUCGCUGUCACAGAUUCUGGAUCUGUUUAAUUCGUAUGAUGUACAUAAGGGGCAGUCCAAAAAUGAAUCCCAUCUGGGUUUGUCAGUCUGGGAAGGGAGAGGUGCAGAGUGUGUGUCAGUCUCAGACAAGCCCCAUUAGAAUUCUGGCUACAGAUGUCCACCCCGCCUAGCCCACCCAGGCAAGGUCCCUAACGAAAAUGAGCCCAACGGAGGACGGGGGCCUAUCAGAAUGACCGAGGACAAUCACAGGGGCGAGCGAGCAUCCUGCUCUGCCCUCAGCACCAUCAUACCAUGCUC